rfam:Streptomyces sp. Root264 contig_3, whole genome shotgun sequence.
UAGCUCAGCGGGAGAGCGCUUCCCUGACACGGAAGAGGUCACUGGUUCAAUCCCANN